rnacentral:rRNA from 1 species
AUACGUAGGGGGCGAGCGUUGUCCGGAAUGAUUGGGCGUAAAGGGCGCGUAGGCGGCCCGGUAAGUCUGGAGUGAAAGUCCUGUUUUUGAGAUGGGAAUUGCUUUGGAUACGGUCGGGCUUGAGGGCAGUAGAGGUAAGUGGAAUUCCCGGUGUAGCGGUGAAAUGCGUAGAGAUUGGGAGGAACACCAGUGGCGAAGGCGACUUACUGGACUGUAACUGACGCUGAGGCGCGAAAGUGUGGGGAGCAAACAGGAUUAGAUACCCUGGUAGUCCACACUGUAAACGAUGAAUGCUAGGUGUAGGGGGUAUCGACCCCUUCUGUGCCGCAGUCAACACAAUAAGCAUUCCGCCUGGGGAGUACGGCCGCAAGGUUGAAACUUAAAGGAAUUGACGGGG